rnacentral:lncRNA from 1 species
CAAAACGAGAUGGUAGAAAACCUCUCCAAAUAUGGCAAUCAAUACAUUUAAACAUAUGGGAUCCAUCAACUAAAAGGCAAUUAUCAGAAUACAUAUGCACAUGGCUAUUUGCUGCAGCAUUAUUUAUAACAGCAAAGCUACAUAAGGGAAGAGAAAUAAAUAAAUAAAUGUGUGUGUAUAUCUAUAUAUAUAUAUAAUUCUAUAUCUUCCUUUAUAUAUAUUUGUGUUUAAAAAUAUAAUAUAUAUUUGUAUUUAAAAGGGAAAGAUAAGCCACAAUAUAAAGAAAAGUGAUUACCUAUAUAAAUACGAUUUAGUAUUUGAUAGCACAACAGAGUGACUAUAGUUAAUUUAAUUGUACAUUUUAAAAUAACUAAAAGAAUGUAAUUGGAUUACUUGUAGCACAAAAGAUAAAUGCUGGAGGUGACGUAUACCCCAUUGAUCCUGAUAUGAU